rnacentral:ncRNA from 1 species
UAUAAAACGUUGAUAGACGUAUAGUAGCUAAAUAGUAUCUUCUUUAGCGAGCUAGGGGUGGUGUGAGCCUAGUGAAGGGAUUUAGUGAAACGGCAGUCUGGAGUUUUUACGAUAAAGUGGGUAUGGAGUUUCUCAUGCCAACUAGGGUGGAACCGCGGGAGUAAGCUCUCGUCCCUAGG